CCUACGGGGGGCAGCAGUGGGGAAUAUUGGACAAUGGGGGGAACCCUGAUCCAGCCAUGCCGCGUGUGUGAAGAAGGCCCUCGGGUUGUAAAGCACUUUCAGUGAGGAAGAACGCCUGGUGGUUAAUACCCAUCAGGAAAGACAUCACUCACAGAAGAAGCACCGGCUAACUCCGUGCCAGCAGCCGCGGUAAUACGGAGGGUGCGAGCGUUAAUCGGAAUUACUGGGCGUAAAGCGCGCGUAGGUGGCUUGAUAAGCCGGUUGUGAAAGCCCCGGGCCCAACCUGGGAACGGCAUCCGGAACUGUCAAGCUAGAGUGCAGGAGAGGAAGGUAGAAUUCCCGGUGUAGCGGUGAAAUGCGUAGAGAUCGGGAGGAAUACCAGUGGCGAAGGCGGCCUUCUGGACUGACACUGACACUGAGGUGCGAAAGCGUGGGUAGCAAACAGGAUUAGAUACCCUAGUAGUC
rnacentral:rRNA from 1 species